rnacentral:rRNA from 1 species
GACGAACGCUGGCGGCGUGCCUAAUACAUGCAAGUUGAGCGAUGAAGAUUGGUGCUUGCACCAAUUUGAAGAGCAGCGAACGGGUGAGUAACGCGUGGGGAAUCUGCCUUUGAGCGGGGGACAACAUUUGGAAACGAAUGCUAAUACCGCAUAACAACUUUAAACAUAAGUUUUAAGUUUGAAAGAUGCAAUUGCAUCACUCAAAGAUGAUCCCGCGUUGUAUUAGCUAGUUGGUGAGGUAAAGGCUCACCAAGGCGAUGAUACAUAGCCGACCUGAGAGGGUGAUCGGCCACAUUGGGACUGAGACACGGCCCAAACUCCUACGGGAGGCAGCAGUAGGGAAUCUUCGGCAAUGGACGAAAGUCUGACCGAGCAACGCCGCGUGAGUGAAGAAGGUUUUCGGAUCGUAAAACUCUGUUGGUAGAGAAGAACGUUGGUGAGAGUGGAAAGCUCAUCAAGUGACGGUAACGACCCAGAAAGGGACGGCUAACUACGU